rnacentral:rRNA from 1 species
AUGCGCCUCUUGCCUUGCAACUUGGAUGCAUUUGAUUUGAUCCCCUCCCCCCGUCCCUACGCGGCCUGUGGGGUAUCAUCAAGAAGCAGCAGCAGCAGAAGAAGAAGAGAAGACGAGGCUGCCGCUGCCACCAUCUUUGUCGGCUGGCUGGCUCCGAGAGAGACCCACCUCGCCUCCUCUUCCUCCCUCUGGUCCCCGCUCCCGGGGAGCACCCCUUUUAGUGCAAGAUUCAAUCUGCUCCUGCUCCGCUCCUGCUCUUGCUCCUCCUCGCCCCGCAGAUUCGCCUCCCUCCUCCUCCUCGCGCGGCGGUUCUUGAUCCGCUCCGGUCCGGUCCUGCCGUGCGCCGCUGCUCCGGGUCCGGCCAAAGGCUGCUGCUUGCUUGCGGGGUCCGUGGCGGCGGGCGGCUGGCUGCGUUCCGGCGGCGGCGGCUCGAUCUGCGCCGGGGCUCAGAUUUGA